UACGUAGGGUGCAAGCGUUGUCCGGAAUUAUUGGGCGUAAAGAGCUCGUAGGCGGUUUGUCGCGUCUGCUGUGAAAUCCCGAGGCUCAACCUCGGGUCUGCAGUGGGUACGGGCAGACUAGAGUGUGGUAGGGGAGAUUGGAAUUCCUGGUGUAGCGGUGAAAUGCGCAGAUAUCAGGAGGAACACCAAUGGCGAAGGCAGCACUCUGGGACGUGACUGACGCUGAGACGCGAAAGCGUGGGGAGCAAACAGG
rnacentral:rRNA from 1 species